rnacentral:lncRNA from 10 species
CUCCAGCUCCUAACCGCGAGUGAUCCGCCAGCCUCAGCCUCCUGAGGUGCCAGGAUUGCAGACGGAGUCUGGUUCACUCAGUGCUCAAUGGUGCCCAGGCUGGAGUGCAGUGGCGUGAUCUCGGCUCACUACAACCUCCACCUCCCAGCCGCCUGCCUUGGCCUCCCAAAGUGCCGAGAUUGCAGCCUCUGCCCGGCCGCCACCCCGUCUGGGAAGUGAGGAGCAUCUCUGCCUGGCUGCCCAUCGUCUGGGAUGUGAGGAGCCCCUCUGCCUGGCUGCCCAGUCUGGAAAGUGAGGAGCCUCUCUGCCCGGCCACCAUCCCACCUAGGAAGUGAGGAGCGCCUCUUCCCGGCCGCCAUCACAUCUAGGAAGUGAGGAGCGUCUCUGCCUGGCCGCCCAUCGUCUGAGAUGUGGGAAGCGCCUCAGCCCCGCCGCCCCGUCUGGGAUGUGAGAAGCGCCUCUGCCCUGCCGCGACCCCAUCUGGGAGGUGAGGAGCGUCUCUGCCCGGCCGCCCCGUCUGAGAAGUGAGGAGACCCUCCGCCUGGCAACCGCCCCGUCUGAGAAGUGAGGAGCCCCUCCGCCCCGCAGCCGCCCCGUCUGAGAAGUGAGGAGCGUCUCCGCCCGGCAGCCACCCCGUCCAGGAGGGAGGUGGGGGUCAGCCCCGCCAGGCCAGCCGCCCCGUCUGGGAGCAAAAGUGAUCCAGAAUCUGAAUGGAAAGGAAUCUGGAGAUCAUCUAGUCCCAACUCCUAUAUAACACAGUUCGUCUUCAGUAUUACCCAAAAUGUGUAUAGUCUGUGCUUGAACACCGUGUGUCACAGAGAAUUCACUGACUCACAUCACUCCUCGCCAUUGUGCAUCAGCUUCAGAUAUUAAAACGCCUUCCCUUGAACCAAACUGAUCUUCUGGCAACUUCCACCAGCUGGGGUAAGUUUGGACUUUUGGGGCCAUGGUUAAGUCAAUUCCCUUUUCCCCAUGGCAAUACUUCAUCAAUAAACUAUGGGUUUUUUGCUUUUUUGUUCUUGUUGUUUUUGAGACAGGGUCUCACUCUGCCGCCCAGGCUGGAGUGCAGUGGCACAAUCUCGGCUUACUGCAGCCUCUGCCUCCCAGGCUCAGGUGAUCCUCCCACCUCAGCCUCAGUCCCAGUAGCUGGGACUACAGGCGUGCACCACCAUGCCUGUUAGUUUUUGAAUUUUUGGUGGAGAUGAGGUUUCACCAUGUUGCCCAUGGCUGGUCUUGAACUCCUGGACUCAAGCAAUCUGCUUGCCUCGGCCUUCCAAAGUGCUGGGAUUACAGGUGUUAGCCACUGCGCCUGGCCUAAUAAAAUAAACUAUGUUCUAUUAGUGCCUGCUUCCUGGGGAUACUGUGAGGACUAAAUGAGGACCUGCCCAUAGUGAGGACUCAGGAAAUGUUCGCAAUGAUUACAUAAUUUGAAUAGCAUUCAUGGGCUCCAUCAACCCUGGCUAGUUGCUACCCCCUGGUAAUAAUAACAGCGAAUAUUUAUUGAAGGCUUACUGAGAGGCCUUGUACCAACUCUCCUCUAUGUAGUCCUCAAAACAACUCUGUAAUUUGGAUUAUGCCCACAGAGAAGAUACAUCACUUGUCCAAGAUGACAUUAUGGCAAAACUAAGGCAGGAACUGGGCUGUUUGAUUCCAAGCCCAUGUACUUUGCCUCAUCUUUUUUUUUUUUUUUUUUGUAAGCGAUAGGGGUCUCACUCUGUGGUCCAGCCUGGGGUCUAGUGUUGCAAUCACAGUUCAUUGUAUCCUCGAACUCCUGGGUUCAAGGGAUCCUCCUUCCUUAGCCUCGCAAGUAGCUGGGAAUGCAGACGUGCAUCACCAUGCCAGGCUAAUUCUUUUUUUUUUUUUUUUGGUAGCGAUGGGGUCUCCUUAUGUUGCCCAGACUCGUCUUGAACUCCUGGCCUCAAGCAAUCCACCUGCCUUGGCCUCCCAAAGUGCUGGGAUUACAGGUGUGAGCCACUGUGCCUGACCUGCCUCAUCUUUAAAAAAAGUUUUAAAAUUAAUUUUAAAUUUAAAAAAAUUGCCUCAUAUUUUGUGCACUCAAGUCUCAGACUAUUGCCACUCACCUCUGGGCAGGUUCCAAUGGGAAGCGCUCUUCUGUGCGACUCCUCGUGCAGGUCCUUGGGUCCUGGUGUUGGCCACCAUAACAGGCCAUAGCAGAAUGAUUUCUGUGGUAUCCCUGGGAGCUUUGGCAAUUUCAGAGCCAAAGGAGAUGCCAGACUGCCUGGCUCCAAAGGGGCCGAGACUGGGUCUCAACUGUCUUUCCUCAUUGGAUAGCCUACAUUAAAGGAUCAUUUUCAAAAAAGAGUAAAAUCACGAUUCUCAUUGGGAUAUUAAAAAAACACAUGUUAAAGAUUUUAUUUAUUCUUUUUUUAAAUUAUUUAUUUAUUUUUUUGAGAUGGAGUUUUGCUCUUGUUGCCCAGGCUGGAGUACAGUGGCCCAGUCUCAGCUCACUG